rnacentral:rRNA from 1 species
UACGGAGGGUGCAAGCGUUAUCCGGAUUCACUGGGUUUAAAGGGUGCGUAGGUGGGUUGGUAAGUCAGUGGUGAAAUCUCCGAGCUUAACUUGGAAACUGCCGUUGAUACUAUCAAUCUUGAAUAUCGCGUAGGUAAGCGGAAUAUGUCAUGUAGCGGUGAAAUGCUUAGAUAUGACAUAGAACACCGAUAGCGAAGGCAGCUUGCUACACAAUAAUUGACACUGAGGCUCGAAAGCGUGGGGAUCAAACAGG